UUACUUCCAAAGGACAUUCAAUCAGGAAAAUAAAAAGAAGGUGCGUCUCGUCUGUCAUGAACUGAUUGAAUGGAGCCGCUAAAGAAGUGUUGUAUUAGAUAUUUUGUACAGAAAAUAAAAAAAAGAAUACUUGUUUUCCCUCUGUAGAUCCCAACCCCAAUGGAAAGAAAUGUUUCUAUUGUGAUGGGAAGAGCUGCUCAAACAUUUUGAGCUGUUUAGGGACUGAAGACCGCUGCAUUAAAGCAACAGUGGCUUUUGGAGGCCAGUCAGUUUCUGUAAAAGGCUGUGCAUCUAAAUCACUUUGUGAUGCUACAACACCGGUUCCUAAUGUUGAUGGCAUCUCAUGUUGUGAGGGGAACCUGUGUAACGGUGCUCAGAGUGUCUCCCAGAGCUUCCUGUUCCUCUGCUGUUCUCUGCUCUCCUACUUCCUGCUGCACUGAAUCCAGCAGCUCUUCAUCCUACAAUCAGACACACUGUACUGAAUAUAGAGCUUGUAUUUUCUCUGUACUGUAUUUUUGGUGUUCUGAUUGUUGUGGAGACGGCUCUAACAAGUAUGAACUGUACUGAAAAUUUCCUAUCAAAAGAACUAAUUCAUCAGGGGAAACCUAGAGUUGAUAUGGUCAAUUUGAUUAUUCAAGGUUUGCAAAAAGAACAAGAUGAAAUCAAGAAGAAACAAGAUGAGGAAGAGAAGAAGAACCACAAGUUCAAUUACUGAGACAACAGCAGAUAAUUAAUUUGAAGUUGAUCAUGCUUAUUAAACAAUCAUGUAUGUUGAAUACUUUUAUGUGUGACUUGGAACAGAUUACAAAUGAGGUUGAAGCUUUGAAUACAAAAGCUUCAGCGCCGGUUGAGUCUGACUAUUAUAUGUAAAGGCCAAAAAGGUCAAAGUGGAAACUGGCCAAGAUGUAUGUUUUAUUUUUCAUUUUUAGAAGUGUUGAAGCAAGCUAACCACAAUAUACGACUUGGGUGCUGAAAGGAGAAGUAUUAAGAGGAACUAAUGUCAACUAAGAUGUAUGCUUUUACCACAAGCUAACCAAUAUGUGUAUUUUUAAUGCAAGCUAUAUGCUUUUUUGCAGAACUAGAAUUGUUUAAGGAACAUCUAGUGUGAAAGUCGUUAAGGUCAAGUUAGUAAAAUGUGUUAAGACGUGUUGCAUGUGUGCAACCCGUGAAUGACCUCUGUAUCUUAUACUUUGACAAAUAAGGAGAUGUUUUAUGUCAGGAAAGAGGAUGUGAUCAGAUUAUCUAUAUUGGAAGUUGUACAACAGAAAAUUGCCACACCUCGGGUGAAGACUUUA